AUUGAACGCUGGCGGCAGGCCUAACACAUGCAAGUCGAACGAGUGGCGGACGGGUGCGUAAUGUCUGGGAACCUGCCUGAUGGAGGGGGAUAACUACUGGAAACGGUCGCUAAUACCGCAUACCAUCAGAUGUGCCCAGAUGGGAUUAGCUAGUAGGUGGGGUAAUGGCUCACCUAGGCGACGAUCCCUAGCUGGUCUGAGAGGAUGAACAGCCAAACUGGAACUGAGAAACGGGCCAGACUCGUACGGGAGGCAGCAGUGGGGAAUAUUGCACAAUGGGUGCAAGCCUGAUGCAGCCAUGCCGCGUGUGGGAAGAAGGCCUUGGGGUUGUAAAGCACUUUCAGCGGGGAGGCGUUACCCGCAGAAGAAGCACCGGCUAACUCCGUGCCAGCCGCCGCGGUAAUUC
rnacentral:rRNA from 1 species